GGGGGCGUAUUGGUUUCGACAGGGGUUUGGAGUUAUUGGAAGCGAGCCGUGUUUCCUGACCUGGGGUACACGUAAAAGAACUGGGUCACUUUAAAUUAAACGCUAAAAAUAAUUACGCUUUAGCAGCUUAGUCUGCUCGUCAGCCCGAGGUAGCCUACGCCCCCGGGACCUGACGUCAUAUCGUGGGGAACAGCUUUAGAGGACGCUCCGACUCUUUAGCGGUACAACUGGAGAUCGCCUGACCUCAAUCCGGUCACCAGGAGUGAGAGACGGCUAAAUUUAAAUAGGUGACUGCGCUCGGAGAAACUGAUGGCAAAGGGCUUUUGGACAGGGGUUCGACUCCCCUCGCCUCCACCA
rnacentral:tmRNA from 1 species